rnacentral:rRNA from 1 species
UUUUUAAGACCUUUUUCGGAAGGUAUGCUUAAAGAGGGGCUUGCGUCACAUUACGUUAGUUGGCAGGGUAAAGGCCUACCAAGACUAUGAUGUGUAGCUGGACUGAGAGGUUGAACAGCCACAUUGGGACUGAGACACGGCCCAAACUCCUACGGGAGGCAGCAGUAGGGAAUUUUCGGCAAUGGAGGAAACUCUGACCGAGCAACGCCGCGUGAACGAUGAAGUAUUUCGGUAUGUAAAGUUCUUUUAUUGAAGAAGAAAAAAUAGUGGAAAAACUAUCUUGACGAUAUUCAAUGAAUAAGCCCCGGCAAACUAUGUGCCAGCAGCCGCGGUAAUACAUAGGGGGCGAGCGUUAUCCGGAAUUAUUGGGCGUAAAGGGUGCGUAGGCGGUUUAAUAAGUCUAUAGUUUAAUUUCAGUGCUUAACACUGUCCCUGCUAUAGAAACUAUUAGACUAGAGUGAGAUAGAGGCAAGUGGAAUUCCAUGUGUAGCGGUAAAAUGCGUAAAUAUAUGGAGGAACACCAGAGGCGUAGGCGGCUUGCUGGGUCUUUACUGACGCUGAGGCACGAAAGCGUGGGGAGCAAACAGGAUUAGAUACCCUGGUAGUCCACGCCGUAAAACGAUGAGUACUAAGUGUCGGGAUUACUCGGUACUGAAGUUAACACAUUAAGUACUCCGCCUGAGUAGUACGUACGCAAGUAUGAAACUUAAAGGAAUUGACGGGACUCCGCACAAGCGGUGGAUCAUGUUGUUUAAUUCGAAGAUACACGAAAAACCUUACCAGGUCUUGACAUACUCUGCAAAGCUAUAGCAAUAUAGUGGAGGUUAUCAGGGAUACAGGUGGUGCAUGGUUGUCGUCAGCUCGUGUCGUGAGAUGUUAGGUUAAGUCCUAAAACGAGCGCAACCCUUGUCAUUAGUUGCCAGCAUGUCAUGAUGGGCACUUUAAUGAGACUGCCAAUGAAAAAUUGGAGGAAGGUGAGGAUCACGUCAAAUCAUCAUGCCCCUUAUGAUCUGGGCUACAAACGUGAUACAAUGGCUGUUACAAAGAGUAGCUGAAACGCAAGUUUAUAGCCAAUCUCAUAAAAGCAGUCUCAGUUCGGAGUGAAGUCUGCAACUCGACUUCAUGAAGUUGGAAUCGCUAGU